CCAGACUCCUACGGGAGGCAGCAGUGGGGAAUAUUGCACAAUGGGGGGAACCCUGAUGCAGCGACGCCGCGUGGGUGAAGGAGCACCUCGGUGCGUAAAGCCCUAUCGGCAGGGAAGAAAAGCGAACAGGUUCGCCUGGACGGUACCUGACUAAGAAGCCCCGGCUAACUACGUGCCAGCAGCCGCGGUAAUACGUAGGGGGCAAGCGUUAUCCGGAUUCACUGGGUGUAAAGGGAGCGUAGACGGAAAGGCAAGGCAGAAGUGAAAACCCAAGGCUCAACCAUGGGACUGCUUUUGAAACUGUCAAACUAGAGUACGGGAGAGGUAAGAGGAAUUCCUAGUGUAGCGGUGAAAUGCGUAGAUAUUAGGAGGAACACCGGUGGCGAAGGCGGCCUGCUGGACUGCGACUGACGUUGAGGCCCGAAAGCGUGGGGAGCAAACAGGAUUAGAUACCCGAGUA
rnacentral:rRNA from 1 species